rnacentral:rRNA from 1 species
GACGAACGCUGGCGGCGUGCUUAACACAUGCCAGUCGAACGGAAAGGCCCUGCUUUUGUGGGGUGCUCGAGUGGCGAACGGGUGAGUAACACGUGAGUAACCUGCCCUUGACUUUGGGAUAACUUCAGGAAACUGGGGCUAAUACCGGAUAGGAGCUCCUGCUGCCUGGUGGGGGUUGGAAAGUUUCGGCGGUUGGGGAUGGACUCGCGGCUUAUCAGCUUGUUGGUGGGGUAGUGGCUUACCAAGGCUUUGACGGGUAGCCGGCCUGAGAGGGUGACCGGCCACAUUGGGACUGAGAUACGGCCCAGACUCCUACGGGAGGCAGCAGUGGGGAAUAUUGCACAAUGGGCGGAAGCCUGAUGCAGCAACGCCGCGUGCGGGAUGACGGCCUUCGGGUUGUAAACCGCUUUCGCCUGUGACGAAGCGUGAGUGACGGUAAUGGGUAAAGAAGCACCGGCUAACUACGUG